rnacentral:rRNA from 1 species
UACGUAGGUGGCAAGCGUUGUCCGGAUUUACUGGGCGUAAAGAGCGCGCAGGCGGUCGUUCAAGUCGCGUGUGAAAGCCCCCGGCUCAACUGGGGAGGGUCACGCGAUACUGAUCGACUCGAAGGCAGGAGAGGGUAGUGGAAUUCCUGGUGUAGCGGUGGAAUGCGCAGAUAUCAGGAGGAACACCGAUAGCGAAGGCAGCUCGCUGGGACGGUACUGACGCUGAGGCGCGAAAGCGUGGGGAGCGAACAGG